UUCUUUUCUAACAAUAAAGAACAAAGAUCUCAUCAAUUUCCUUUUAAUAAUAACUUCUAAUUAGUGAUUCGGCACUUCUUCUCAAUUUACAGCUCUCAUUUUUUAAUUUCGUCUUUAAUUCUUGAAGAACGAAGAGCAAACAGAAGCCUUUCAGCUUUCAUCGACUUUGAUUCUCGAAAUUUAGGUAUUUCCUCUAUUACUCACUUAAAGAAUUAAAAUUCUUCACUUUGAUUUUGACACCAUGGUUAGAUAUUGAUUUAAUGCUUGUUUAAUUAGUUUAGAGUUUCAUUUAAUUUGUUUUGUGUUGUUCACUUUAAUUGCAUCUUCAAGAUGGAAUGUUGGUACUCUAAAUGAUACAAAGUUUUAUUCCUAUGCAGCAUGAUUAGAAGAAGUAAAUUGAUUGUGCACUUGAUAUUUUGCAUCUUAAUUUACAAAUGAUUUAAUGCCUAAAUUCUUAUUUUAUCAACCACAUAGUCAAAAGUGAUUUGUUUGGAUUAUAUAGGCUUACCUGUAAUUCUGUAUUAUUUAUAUCUUCAUAAAUUCUUGUUUAUGUAGGCUUGAUUGUUGAGGCUUCUUUCAUCAGUGAUGAUGUGUUAUAGACUUGGUUGUUGAGGUUUGUUUUAUCAAUGAUGAAGUGUUAUUAAAAAAAAAAACACACACACACACACAUUUUGAUUUUUUUUUAUAUAUAUAGAAUAAGCAUGACCAUGGAUCUUUAAGUGUGUAUUAGUAAUUUAGUAAUUUGGCACCCGUUUCUUUCUAACAAGUGCUUUUAAGUUCAAUUAUUUUAUUUCACUUAUUCUUUACUGACCAUGGUAAUCAUUAAGGCCAAGCAUAAACGUACAACAUACUACAAAUUGAUCUAAAGUAGGAAAUACUACAGAAUUCAGAUGAGAUUGGUUACUAAUUUCUGAUAUUAAAAAGCUGAGAUUUAAUUUCAAUGUGUAUGUAAGAAUUCAUGGGUGGUGAGGGUUGCCAUUGUAUUUGACUCUUUGUCUUUGGAAAUGUUUUAUCAAGAUUUACUUUUGCUAAUAUCACUUGGGUAAUGCCCUGGACAUGCUUAUCAAAUGUCAUUACUGCCAGGUUUAUGCUUGUUGUCCAUAGUUCUUAGUCUCUAAUUAAUUCAAAAUAUUGGGAAUAUCUUUUUAUGGCACAUUGAUAUUUUCUUUUUGUAUGUCCUUGAUCUGUAUUUUGAUCGAUUAAGUAUAUGUGUUUGAGUCAUUGCUCUGUAUUUUUGAUGGGAUUAAGUAUGGAGCUUUGAGUUUACAAUUGAUAAUGGGUA
rnacentral:lncRNA from 1 species